GAAAAACGGAGACGGGUGUGCGGUUCCGUAAAGCGCCACCCCCGCUUGUGCCUUUCCCCGCCAACCGCUAGCUCCCGCUCACAUCUUGUUCCUUGCCCCCCUCUCUCUUCUAUUUUCGGCACGCUCUCUUUCUAGCACUUUUCGGAGACGCCCCUCAGCUCUUCCACGCCCGCCCUCCCUUGUUGCCACCGUUCGUGCUCGUCGCACCUCCCCUCGUCGCGGCUUCUUCUUUUCCGCUGCAUCUCUUGGCGUCUGUAUCCCUGACUCUCCGUGCUCCUUGUUUCGGUGCUGCUGUUGUCGGUGUGUCGUCCACAACGCCCCUCUUGCAGCCAUUGCAUUCCUGCUGCUCACGCAGGAACUACCCGACCCCCUCCACAUCACCCCCAGACACGGCGCAGUGCGAGCGAUGUCGAAGCUACCGCAGGCGGCCAUGCUUGUCACCAGCCUUGUGGUCGGCGUGACCAUGGUGAUGGGCCCCAACGCCAUCAACAGCGCCCCGAGCUUCAUGCUGGAGUACUACAAGUACCUCGCUGGCAACAAGGCUGCAGAGGCGCUCUCGCCGGUGUUUUGGAGGAACAUCCUCAACUUCUACACAGUGGUCACCAUAGUGGCGCAGGCGAUUCAUGAGCCGACAAACUUGACUUCCUUCAUGUGCCGUUUCUCGCUGCUCUUCCGUCUCGAGGUGAGCUGCGUGUUGAUGACGAUAGAACUGCUCGUCAUCCUCAUCAUGCCGCACACGAACGCUCCCGAGUACGGCGCGAUCGCGGCGCUGAUGAUCGUAGCAUACCUGGGCGGCGCUGCUCGUGCCUACUUUGAGAACACCGGGUAUGCGCUUUUCGGCCCCUGCCCUCCGAUUAUGAUGACUGGCAUGCUGGUCGGUUCGGCGGUUUCCGGGUCUCUAGUGUCUGUGCUGCAGAUCGUCUUGAAGGUAAGCAUGUCCGACACCUACAACGCCGUGCUGACGCAGUCCCUCAUCUAUUUCUGCCUGGCGAUAGGCAUCAUCUUCCUCUCCGGGCUGCUUCUCAUGAUCUUGCCGUACAAUCCAUACGCGCGGCGCUACGUUGCUGAGUUCCGCUCGAGCCGGGGUCUAUGGGCGAACAUCUACUGCCCGCGCAAGGCUGUGAAGGAGAUGUCCGAUGACGGCGUGUGUCGCAAAAACGGCGCCGCCGGCUUGCAGGACCGCGCUGCCUGCCGCUACUUGGCCGACUCCGGCUCUGAGAAGAAGGCAGAGCUGCUGCUGGAGACGGAGCACGGCGAUGUCACAGCGAGAGGUAUCCGGGCGCGCCACCACCCCAACCUUCUCUAUGAUGACCGCUUCUUCACCAGGGAGGGGUUCGAGGCGGAGCCGACGCAGGAGUUUGCUCCUGAGCCCGCGAGCCACGACGGCGCUGCGGUGAAUGCCACUGAAACGGUCGCAUGCGACUGUGCAUAUCCGCAGACGACCUCCGGCGAAGUCAGCAGCGAAGUUGUGACACAGACGAAGGCUGACCUUGAUGGGGACAGCAAUGACUGCCCUGCUGCCGCAGACAGGAUGCUGACGACAGCGGAGCUGCUGCAGGAGGUGAAGCUGUGGCCAGUCAUCAAGAAGAUCUACCCGAUGAUGAUUGCCUGUUUCCUGACCUUCUGUGUCACCUAUCUCGUGUACCCGGGUAUCAUUGUUGCUGUGGACAGUGCUGACGGAUGGUUCACGACACUCAUCAUUGCGGCGUACAACUUCGCUGACCUCGUCGGCCGUUUGCUGACCCUCUGGAGGCGGCUGUGGCCGUCGCGCAAGGUGAUCCUGAUUGCCUCGAUUACACGCAUCAUCUUCAUUCCUCUGCUGGUGCUGUGCGCGGUGCACAAGAUCCCAUCGAAGGCGGCCGCGUAUGUGUUCACGAUUAUCAUGGGUUUGUCGAAUGGCUUUGUUGGAGCGCUUUCGAUGAUUUACAGCCCUGAGACGCCAAGCCUUUCCACCGAUGGCGAGCGAGCCAUGGCCGGUCAGCUGACAGGCGCGUGCCUGCUGAUCGGCUGUGCGGCGGGCUCGCUCAUUCAGCUGGCGGAGGUGCUUCCAUUCACUUAAGCGAAAUGGCGAUACGCCUCCACGUCGCGCUUCAUCAGGCCCAUGCCCCCCUCUUUCUUUUCUUUUCGGGUGCUGCAGAACAGGGAUGAAAUUACAAAAGAUGGUGGACUCGCUUGCUUAACUAUUUCCUUUAUUGAUACUACCCCCCUCCUCCCCCGUCUCGCCGGCCACGUGCCGCUCUCCUCCCCUCCAAGGAUCACUCCUCUUGCUCUUCUGUUUUUCUCCUGUUUCAGCGUCUUUGCAAAGGGCUGUGAAGAAGACGAAGUGACAAGUAGGGAGUCGAGUGGACAGACAAACCCCCAGGAGCCCGCACGAGCCCCCCCCUCGACACACACGCACACACGCAGACACAGGCGGACAUCCACUUCCGGAAGGUGGAGCCCGUUACAAUGAUGGCGUCUUUUUUGUCUACUUAGUUUCGCUUAUCAAGCAAAAAUCUUUCCAUCUAUUUUACCAUUAUCUUAUCAAGCUGUCAUGUGUGAUUUUGCGUGCAUCUCUCGCGGUCUCUGCGUGUGAGUGCGAGUGUGCUGGAGGGUGAUGUGAAAGGAAAAAAGAGGCUUGCGUGGCGCGACUUCCUGUUCUGGGAGUUGGACGUGCCCAGUGAACUCGUCGGCUUUCGUUGUCUCCGUCUGUCUUUCGCUCUCUCUUGUGAUUCCUGCGCCGCAGUGGGAGAUACUGUCACUUUAAGCGAGGUAAUUACAUCAGCCAAUGUAGAUCAAGAACUGUCUUCGAUUUACGACAGGUGUUGCUUGUCUUUUCAUCUCUAUCGAUUUUUUAUUUUCGUUUCCCUCGACCCGCGUUAAAAAAUGGGCGCAUCUGUGCGGCAGCCGGCCAGCCGCCAUGCUUUGCUGUAUUCCUUUCUAUUCUCGCUUCUGUUUCCACCCGGAUGACGCGGGGGGGCGUCUCCGUGCGUGGCAUCUCAGGGUCCACCGCGCACCUUCUCUUUUGGGAGGCCGAGCAGCCCCCCCUCCCCCUUCCCUCUCGCUCUAUCCUUGCCAGUGCUGAACAGCCCCUGGUGGUGACAGGGCCAAGCAUCUAUGGCGUAGGGGUGGCCAGAGCGAUGUAUCCCCACGGAUGCCGGCGGCCGGGCCCUGGAUGGCGCUGCGUCGGGGCGGCCUGUGACCGUGCACGCGCCCGUGCCGUCCAUGUGAUGGGCGGUGUGUGUGCGCGACCCGAGCGUAUCCCACGCCCGGCCCUCACGCUGCCUACUGGUGGGUGGGCCCGGGUGCCGCCGCGAGGGAUGCACGACGUGGCGACCCGCCUGCUGUGCGCGGCUGCGAGGCGACCUGCGGGGCGGGAGGUGGGCAGUGCUCCGAUGACUGAGUCGGCGUAUUGCUGCACCGCGUGUCUGGCGCUGCUUCGCACCGCGCGAUGGGGGCGUGUGGCCGGCCGAGUGUGGGGUGGGGAGUGUAAGUCGUGUUGUACGGCAGAGAAACGCACACGCAGAGGAAAAAAUACAAAAGGCGGCCGUCUUCUCUCUCUAUGUUUCUGUAAUGUUUAAGUUACUCACUGGCGCUGUGUGUGUGGUGUUG
rnacentral:misc_RNA from 1 species